rnacentral:rRNA from 1 species
GAUGAACGCUGGCGGCGUGCUUAACACAUGCAAGUCGAACGGAAAGGCUCCUGCUUGCAGGGAGACUCGAGUGGCGAACGGGUGUGUAACACGUGGGAGAUCUGCCCUGCACUUCUGUAAAAGCCUGGGAAACUGGGUCUAAUACCGGAUAGGACGAUGGUUGGUAUGCCAUUGUGGAAAGUUUUCUGGUGUGGGAUGAGCUAGCCGCCUAUCAGUUUGUUGGUGGGGUGAGGACCUACCAAGGCGUUGACGGGUAGACGGCCUGGUAUUGUAGACGGCUACAGUGGGACAGAAAUACAGCCCGUACUCGUACUGGAAGCAACAGUGGGGAAUAUUGAAUGAGACGGGCAAGUGUGGUGCAGCGGCUCCGCGUGGUGGAUGACGGCCUGCUGGUUGUAAACUCCUUACGGUCGUUAUGAAGUGCUACUAACGGUUCCUGGAGAAAAGGCCCGGGCUAACUUCGUG